rnacentral:tRNA from 1 species
GCCUGGGUGGCUCAGUCGGUUAAGCGUCUGACUUCAGCUCAGGUCAUGAUCUCUCAGUUUGUGAGUUCAAGCCCCACGUUGGGCU